CAGCCGCGGUAACACGGAGGGGGCUAGCGUUGUUCGGAAUUACUGGGCGUAAAGCGCACGUAGGCGGCUUGGUAAGUUAGAGGUGAAAGCCUGGAGCUCAACUCCAGAAUUGCCUUUAAGACUGCCGAGCUAGCAGGUGAGAGAGGUAAGUGGAAUUCCGAGUGUAGAGGUGAAAUUCGCAGAUAUUCGGAAGAACACCAGUGGCGAAGGCGGCUUACUGGCUCAUACUGGACGCUGAGGUGCGAAAGCGUGGGGAGCAAACAGGAUUAGAUACCCCCGUAGUCCCUGUCUCUUAUACACA
rnacentral:rRNA from 1 species